AAUGAACGCUUGCGAUAGGCGUAACACAUGCAAGUCGAACGUUUAAAAAACGUGGCGAACGGGUGCGUAACAUGUAGGAAUCUGCCAAAGCAUGAAGGAAAAAUCCUUCUUAAAAGAUCAGUGAUCGUGCUUUGAUGAGCCUGCACAAGAUUAGAUAGUUGGUGUGGUAAUGGCACACCAAGUCGAUGAUCUUUAGCUAAUCUGAGAGGAUGAUUAGCCACACUGGGACUGAGACACGGCCCAGGCUCCCAUGGGAGACAGCAGUGAGGAAUCUUGGACAAUGCACGAAA
rnacentral:rRNA from 1 species